UACGUAGGGGACCAGCGUUGUCCGGAUUUACUGGGCGUAAAGAGCGCGCAGGCGGUCGUUCAAGUCGAGUGUGAAAGCCCCCGGCUCAACUGGGGAGGGUCAUUCGAUACUGAUCGACUUGAAGGCAGGAGAGGGAAGUGGAAUUCCCGGUGUAGUGGUGAAAUGCGUAGAUAUCGGGAGGAACACCAGUGGCGAAGGCGACUUCCUGGCCUGUUCUUGACGCUGAGGCGCGAAAGCUAGGGGAGCAAACGGG
rnacentral:rRNA from 1 species